UACGGGGGGGGCAAGCGUUGUUCGGAAUUACUGGGCGUAAAGGGCGCGUAGGCGGCCCGAUCAGUCAGAUGUGAAAGCCCCGGGCUCAACCUGGGAACUGCAUUUGAUACUGUCGGGCUUGAGUUCCGGAGAGGAUGGUGGAAUUCCCAGUGUAGAGGUGAAAUUCGUAGAUAUUGGGAAGAACACCGGUGGCGAAGGCGGCCAUCUGGACGGACACUGACGCUGAGGCGCGAAAGCGUGGGGAGCAAACAGG
rnacentral:rRNA from 1 species